UACGAGGGGGGCAAGCGUUGUUCGGAAUUGUUGGGCGUAAAGGGUGCGUAGGCGGUGCGGUAAGUCUGUUGUGAAAUCUCCGGGCUCAACUCGGAGUCUGCAUCAGAAACUGCCGUGCUGGAGUGUGGGAGAGGUGAGUGGAAUUCCCGGUGUAGCGGUGAAAUGCGUAGAUAUCAGGAGGAACACCGGUGGUGUAAACGGCUUUCUGGACCAUAACUGACGCUGAGGCACGAAAGCGUGGGUAGCAAACAGG
rnacentral:rRNA from 1 species